ensembl:lncRNA
AAACAAUAAAAUACUUCCAUCUACAGAUUCAGUUCACUUUGUACACUGUUUCUAAUUCUCUGUUCCCUGGUCCACUUGAUGUUUUCCCUCCCUGCUGACACUGAGCUUCGGCCCACAGGAAGGGGGCAGCAUGAUGACAUGCCAGUUCCUGCCACCCUUUGCCCUCACAUCACCCCAGAGCUGCAGGUUCCUGGUGACUGCACUGGGUGCAGAAGGAACAUGGGGUGACCCAGCUACAUGAGCAGCGUGAAUUAGCGGCAACCAGCCUGCCCAACCCUUGACACAGGAGAAAUGUUCACUGCUGACACCAUAGGGAGUUUGGCGUGUUUCUUACAGUGACAACUGACCGAUACAGUUGUUACAAACACCUAUACAACACCCCAUGCCAGGAAUGACCUUUACUCAUGUUACCCCUCAUUCCAUGCCAACUGCUCUUUUUCACAGGUAAGAAGACUCAGGUUAAGUCGCUUGUGCAAGGUCACAUAGCUGAUGAGCUAGUAAGUGGUGUGACCAUGGGACACAGGCUCUAGACUUGUGCGGGGUGAGGCACCUGGUGGUGGUGCUGGUUUAACUUAUACUGAGUCAUCUGACACCAACAAUUUUGUCACAGAUAAGGAACCCAGGUUGUAACUUGCCCAAGGUCAAGUAGCCAAUGAGCUGCUAGAGGCGUCCCUGGGGACACAGUGCCUCUGGACUUAGCUGGGUGAGACAGCUGGUGCUAAUGGUUGUUUAUAUCACUUUGAGGUGCAGCUCCUACCACCUGUAGAACAAAGUGCAUUGCCUGACUCACCUGUAGCCUCCCCACCCCAUGGUUUCCCUCUCUCCUCUUCUUCAGCCCCAAGGAAUCUCUGAUUGCUUCCCCAAAACAUUAGUCUACACCCAUGGCCCAUGGUUUUUGCUUGAUUUGGUUUGUUGAGACAGGGCUUUGAUAUGUACUUCAUGCUGGCUUUGAGCUCAUAGUGAUCCUCCUUGUCUCAGCCUCCUGAGUGCUGGGAUUAUAGGUGUGCACUGUCACACUUGGAACCCCAUGGAUUUAGACUUUGCACCACUAAAGUCAGUCACUGGUUUUCCAUCAGCAGAAAUGAAAGGGAGAGAAGCAUAAGCACCACUAUGAUAGCACAAACUACCAUGAAACAUAGUUGUGAGUAAAAUGGAAUCAAAUAGCAAGUCCACUUCCAUCUAAAGAUGAGAGAGCAGGUCCUUCUGCUUCCUCCAGAGCAGGCCAGUUACAAAGGCUCAGGCGGCCCUGGGCUUGGACAAGGAGCCCAUUUCAAAGCUGAGAUGAAAGAGGCCGGGCUCAGGCCCCCCAAGCCCUGAGGCCAGGCAGUUCACAGCCGUUUCACACCUCUGAGAGGCCAUCCACUGAGCACUAGGAGUGAACACAGCUUGGGCUGGGUGGGAGCCAGGGACAUCGGCCUGGGGACCUGCCAGGAGAGGCGCAAGUGGGGAGCAGGAGAAAGCAGGUGACCAUCCUAGCUCCCAGGCCUCAGAGACCCCCUGGGUAGGUGAGGACCAACUGAGGGCCAGGAAAAGAUGUUUUCUUGUUUUUGUUUUCAAUUUGGAAGUGACUGCAAACUUAAAGGAAGUUGCAAAAAUCAAAGUAGCACAAAAGAUACCUGCAUAUCUCUAUUGUCCCCUCCCCAGGGCGCCCUUCCUCCCUCAGUCGCCCUGCCCUCUGUAAUACCUUGUGAACAGGUUGUACAGGUGAGACCAGGGUGAGGUCCCCACAUCCUCUAAACUGUAGACCGAACUCCUUUAAAAUAGAUGAGGAGAAACAGCCACAUUCCCUAGUCCCUUGAGAUUAACAAUGGACAUGAAGAAUGUACAAAAGAAAUGCUACUAUAAAACAAUGGAAAUGUUCGACCCACUAAUGGGUUUUUUAACUGACAAAUUACUACCUAUUUAGAAAUUUGCAAGGGCCAGGGGAGAGGAGGGGAAGCGUUCAUAAAAAGAAUUAAAAUGAGUUAGGGUUGGCAUGGUGGCACACCAUGAGUUGAGGCCAGUCUGGGUUACCUAGUGGGUUCAAGACCAGCCUGAACUAUAUAGUGAGACCUUGUCUCAAAAAACCCAAAAACCAAAAAGCAAGAUGUGUUAGGUACAUGUACUAGCACUCUAUGAGGAAUGUGAUCAUUAUGUAUGGCAAACAUGUACUAAUAAAAAUUACGAUAAAAAUUAGCAAAAAAGACUAUAAUUUUUUGGUACUGGGGAUCAAACUUGGGACCCUGAGUUUUCAAGGCAGGCGGUAGAACCACUGAGCUAAAUCCCCAGCCCUGCAAAAAUGACUUUAAAUGAUAAUGCCUAAUUCUGGUAGUUUGAGGCAAGACCCUAAUGCAUCCAUGAUGAUGGUGGCAGUGAGAAAGUGGUGAUGAAAAUGAUCACAUCUGACCUAAGGACUCCACUUCUGGGUUUCUAUCCAGAAAAAAAGAAAAUGCAAUCCAUGGUGAAAAAAAUCUUAGAACAGCGGGCGUGGUGGGGCAUGCCUGUCAUGCCUGUGCUCAGGAGGCUGAAGCAGGAGGAUCACCAUGAGUUUGAGGAUGGCCUGGGCUACAUAGCGAGAUCCUGUCCCAGAAAAAAAAAGUUUCUACAUUCUGGAUCAGAGCUGAGCACGGUGGUGCCCUUGGAUCAGAGCUGAGCACAGCAGUGGCCUGUGCUGCACUACUCUGAGUCUACACAUGACUGAAAAUGUCUGUGAUUUAUAAACAUGAAUCAAGGAGUUGGGCAGUGCAAACAGAGCCUUCGUCAAGUCCUGGAGGUGACCAGCCCCAAGCCACCCGCCACAACCAAGCUCAACCUUCACAGGCAAGUUACAAGCUAGUUUUCUGGCUUUUGAUUUUAUUUCAUGGGACUAACAAUUCACUUCAUCAACAAAAACCUUGACAAGGCAGGAAACGUGGAGGAAGAAGGAGGAAGAAGCAAAAAGACAGGGAUGGUGCUGCUGCGAUUCUCACACAAGGGACCCGGGGCCCAGGCUGCCACCAGCUGAUAGGACAACCCUCACCCUCCCAGCUAAGCGGCUGUGGGCACAGAACACAAACACUGGUGGCUUUCUGCAGGGUGCACAGGCUCCUCCAGCUCUGCAACCCAUGGCUCUUAAUGAAGCAGACAGGGCCACUGUGGCCAUGGCCUCCUCUCAACUGCCCCACCCAGACCUGCUCAGCUCCAGCCCUGCUCUGCAGCAGCCCUCCGGCUGAGAAGGGAUGGAACCCAGUCCUCCUGUUGGGGCAGGGAUGGAAUUGGCAGCGAGCUUCCCAGUGCAGGGAGAAUGGGACUGUUGGCUCCUUGCCAAGGCCAAGUUAAGGACACUGACAGGAAAAGCAAUACAGACAUUUAUUCUUCCAGGCUGUGACCAAGGUCAGCAAAAGAGACACAAAACUUCGGGGACCCUGGAAGUCCUCCUGGAUUCAGUGACAGCACACCACCAGCUGGAAACAGGUCAGCUGGAAUUGUCCGAGAAUUGUCCCAGUCUGUCACUGGGGCAGUGCAGAGCUUCCUGGUCACUGCUUUCACCCUGGGUUGGGACAAGAGGGCUCUCUCCGAGAGAGCAGCAGCUCAGGGGGUUCCACUCCUACAAGCCACCCACUGGGGACAGCAGCAGCAGAGCUGACAGAGAAGACCCAUGGCUGGCUACGGCCACUCCAGAGAGGACUGUGGUGACAGUAAAAGGGCCACCCUGCUGCCAGCAGGGGCUGUAUCCACAGGGCAUGGUUACCAGACCCCUAACAGACACACAAUUCUCGGCAAAGAGCACCCUGCCAUCAGCGCCGGAGCCGCAGGAAGAAGGCAUGCUUACACUCUGUGCUCUCCAGUGGGUAGUACUUAUCAUAAAAGUCCAGAACAUACUCCUCUGUCUUGAACCCAAACUUCUGGUACAGCAGCAUGGCGGGGUUGCUCGCUGAGACGUGGAGGGUCACGUCUUUGCCCAUGCAGGUCUGCCAAGAGAGUGGGAAGCAUGAGAAUGAGAGUAGAGAAGCCCUUUCUAGCACAGGAAGUUGGUGUGGACACCAGGGAAGGCUCAGUGCCACUACAUACUGUAGGGCAUUUUGCUACUGAUCUAUGCAUCCUAAGACCAAGGAGCCUGGUCACCGAUGACCUGGGCGUUGUUUGUCCCCCUCUGAAGCACAGGACCAAGGGGGACAUUUAGUCAAUUUUACCAUUUUAUUUAUAAUUCAAUCACACCUCAUUUGACAGUGGCCUUCCUCUCUGCUCACGGCCCCCACCACUGCAUCCAAAGGCAUUUGUGUUUUGGGGACUAAAGAGGGUACAAGACUAUACCAAGAAUUGCCAUAAGUUCAAGGCUGGCCUGGGUAAUAAAGCAAGUUCAAGGCCAGCCCGAACUAGAUAGUGAGACCCUGUCACAAAAAAACCAAAAAUAUAUAAACAAAAUAAC